AUGACAGCGCCAGCCCUAAAGUUCCUUAUUCACAUAGAUUCAGAAAAUCAAAUAUCCACAGGUUUUCAUAUCCUUGAAUACAACUAUCUACCAACCCUGAGUUCUUCAAGUGACGUACGGCUCUGCUGCGUGGGCAUUGCUCUCUCUAUAUAUUUCAUAUCCUUCUCUGAAAGCUAAUCAGAACCAUGAUGAGUAUCUUCAAGAGACCUCUCUUUCUUGUGUCAAAAAUAUCCACCAUACUUUUGUUUCUGAUCCUUGUGGCCGGUGUUACUCCUGUGAUUGCAACCUCCAAGCAACCAAAAUUCCGAGCAAGCAGCAUGUAUUCUUCACAAAGUAAUAGUCCCGUUCAGCCAUCAGGACCUAAUCCUUGCAGUUUCCUGCCUGGAUCGGGCCACUGCAAACCUCCCAAGUGAUUCAUGUUUCAUGCAUAAUAUUGUCCACUCGCGGAUAUAUAUCAUGUCGAUGAUGGAAGUGGAAAUCACGAGCACAAGUGGGCAAUAGAGAGUACUGUACUGGCAAGGAGAGUUGAUAUAAUGAAUCCUUCUGUAUGCAAAUUAAUGAUCAUUAAUAAAUAUUUCUUUCCCUAA